rnacentral:tRNA from 1 species
GGAGAGGUGGCAGAGUGGUCGAAUGCGGCGGUCUUGAAAACCGUUGACUUGCAAAGGUCCGGGGGUUCGAAUCCCUCCCUCUCCGCCA